rnacentral:lncRNA from 1 species
AGAAUUAUUGAUCAAAUUUGGAUCUCUGUGUGCUGUCCUCCAAUUUAAUACUUUCUGUGUUGCUGUUUUAUUUUCUUUCUUCUGGAACCUGGCAAAGUGCGUCAAGCGAUGAGGCUUCCUCUUUGAAGAUCACAGGUGAGAAGAUUAGGUGCUUUCUCAGAAGCCCAGCAACCUGAUGGGAGUGUGGAGUGAGCAAGACCCAAAUCGGAGCUUCAUCCCUGCAUGGUUCAUUUUGCUUAUUUGGCAAACUUGCCCUGCAGGUGAAAACAUUGGAAUCUUGUGAACCUCAACCUGUGUUUUACAUAUGUAUACAUGAAGCAUCCAAUGGCAUUACACCUCAGCCAGAGAAGAAGCUCUUAAGAGAUCAGGUGCCUCAUUUCACCCAUGGGCUGCUCCAGCAUUUCCAGCCUCCUCACUCCUGACACAUACAGGCACGUGCUCUCUGUGGAGUCUUUGCACUUCUCCUUUCCUUCCUGAAAUGCUCUUCCCCUGGGUGUCUUCAUCCUACCUCCCUCAACUCUUUCAUCUUGUUUAAAAAAUGUCAUUUUCUCAGUGAGAACUUCCUUGUCUUAUUCAGUUUGGGCUUCUCUAAUAAAAAUACUAUAGACUGAGUGGCUUAAACAGCAGAAAUUUAUUUCCCACAGUUCUAGAGGCUGAGAAGUCUGAGAUCAGGGUACCAGCCUGGUUGGAUUCUCAGUUUAGAGACAGCUAUCUUCUCAUUGUAUCUCACCUGGUGGAGAGCAGAGAGGGAGGAAGCAAGCUCUCUCACGUCUCUUCUUAUAAGGACACUAAUCCCAUUCAUGAUGGCUCCAUCCUCAUGACCAAAGGCCUUGCCUCCAAAUAUCAUCACACUGGGGAUUUGGCUUCAACAUUUGAUUUUGGGGGUGGGAAACAAAAAAUUUAGUCCAUAGCAUUCCCAAGUGAUUUGUUUAAAUUUUCUACUUAAUCUCUUCUGUGCUUAAAUGUAUCUCCUUAGUAUUGUCCUUUAUCUAUUGCCAAUGUAACUCAUCUAUGUAUCUCUCUAUUUAUCACCUGUGUAUGUAUGUAUGUAUGUACUGUGAAUGUGUGUGUAUGUAUGUAGGUAUGUAUGUAUCUACCUGUCUAGUUUAUCUAACUUGCUUCAGAAACAGGAAACUCUUUGAAGAGCAGUGUUUUUUUCUUUUUAGUUGUUCAUUUAUGUAUAACCAUGGCACUAGAAAGUAAGAAGGCAAAAAGAUUCUUUGCAUAUACAUUUAUUGAAGUACAUACUAAUUGAAUAAAAGUAUUUUAUAUCUACCACCUUGGCCACCUAUAUGUUUUAAGGUCUACAGAAGGAAUUAAAAAAAUAUACAGUGCAACAAAAUCAUGGCUUUGACUUCUUAUUUCUUCUUCAUGGUAUGAAGUAUGUGAGGGGAAAGCCAUGGCAAUUGUUAGUCUUGUAAAUGGGAAUUGUGGCAUUUGAGAUCAAGGUUUACUUAUUUAAACAUGCUUUCUACAAUAAAAAUUAUGUUUCCAGACUCUUAUAAUUGUAUUUUCUGAAAAGAAAAGAGAGUGAUAAUAAUUCCUGUGGUCUUAACUCUGUUCUUUCAUUAGGUUAAAAAUUUUCUUUAAAUGUCCUAAGAAAAAAUUGGAUUCAAUUUUGG